GGUCCCAUAGCUCAGUUGGUUAGAGCGUCGUACUAAUAUUAGCAAGAAAUUGGUAACAUUAGUAAAUGCGAAGGCCGUGAGUUCAAGCCUCACUGGGACCA